rnacentral:rRNA from 1 species
GUCCACGCCGUAAACGAUGGAUACUAGCUGUUGGGAGUAAUCUCAGUGGCUAAGCGAAAGUGAUAAGUAUCCCACCUGGGGAGUACGUUCGCAAGAAUGAAACUCAAAGGAAUUGACGGGGGCCCGCACAAGCGGUGGAGCAUGUGGUUUAAUUCGAUGAUACGCGAGGAACCUUACCAAGGCUUAAAUGUAGUUUGACAGGUUUGGAAACAGAUCUUUCUUCGGACAAAUUACAAGGUGCUGCAUGGUUGUCGU